AACAAAAUACGUUUUUUCUUCAAUCUAUCUUAAAACAUUGUUGAGGCAACUUUAUUUUAUGUUGAAGUCGAUGGUGUUUGUGUUUGAUGGUGAUGAUUUCAUGUCAUUUGUGCAGCAGUGAGGUAAAGUGUGUGAUUUGUGCGUUUCAAAUGUAAUGGAGUGCUUCACGCGAUCUGUCGUGUGACGUGUUUAAACCGUAUUAAACGUGAUGUACUCGUGUUUAAACAGUAUUAAACGUGUUGUUCAAUUUCGGGUCCUCUGUAGUGUUUUAUGAUAGCAGCAGUGUUGUAAACUGUGUGAUUUGUGCGUUUCAAAAUGAAUGGAUUGCUUCACGUGUUCGUGUCAUACCACAAUGACUUCUCCAGUCUGGCUAAAAGUUACAAAAGGUGAUCCUUCAGUAUACCAUUCCUUCUUCAGUGAGUGACCUGUCAAAGGAAAUAGAAAAACAAUGUAAUCUACAAGGACAUUUAAGGAUGCAGUUCAUGGAUUCUGACUUGGCAAUUAGUUUUUAAGUGAAAUUAAAUUUACUCAAGCCCAAACCAGCUGGAAUUUCCAGUGCUGCUUACCAUAUAAAAAAAAACAUGCAACGCUGAGAUGAACUACUGCCCUUACCAUCCACAAACGGAGACAUCCAAAACACUGGAAGUAGUCAGUGUAAUACUUCUGUCUGAAAUUAAAAAGAACAAUGAGAAAACAUUAUGAAUGCUGAUGGACAUUUUUUUCUAUCAGGAGACAUGAGGUUGUCAAGGAAUCGCCUUCAAUAGCAGAUUUCAAAACUAGAUGGCCUGCUCUUUUUAGAAGGGAAGAGAUUUGUACAGAGUUUAAAAGAACCGCAACAGCCCCAUUGGUGUCUACAUACUUGGCGAAGAUGGAUCAAUAUUCUGCAAAGCUUAUAAGGAUCUAUGCAAAACGAGGAGUCGUCAAUUAACCGAGAAUUAAAAACCUGCUGGUUUCCACAACACGGACAGACAACAUUGAUCAGACUCCGAUCUUUCUUUGUCUACCUGAAUGAAGACCUGACCAGUCUAAUUAAAGAGUAUUUGGAUACAGAUGCACCCAGUACCCAGGAGGCGAUCCAGAAGAUGGUGAUGGGAGUCCUUGUUGUAAAAAUGUAUUGUUCAGACAUCGAACACAGCCUAGCAGAUAUUGGAGUGUUAUUGAAGGGAUUAAGAGUUCUUGGACCUCAACAACAUUGUGUAUGCGACAACCAUGCUGAUGGGACUGAUAUAUGCACUGAACUUGAGCUACUUUCCUGAAUUCAGGUACACUUUUGAAGUAUUGCAGUUGUUGUUUCUGGAGCUAGAUGGGAAGUAACUAUCUCAUAAAGUUCAGACGCUGAAGACCAAGCCUUUUGCAGAUGUUUUGAGAAAGGAAUGUUUUAAUAUUUCAUAUGUAAAUGCCAUGUUUUUGAAAUGGAGUUUUCGUGCAUUUCAUUUGUCAGUUACUGUAAAAAAAAUUGUAAUGUUGUUAUAAGGUUACAUUGUAAUAUCCAAAGUCCUUAAAAACUUUGCAAGCUUUUCAAGUUGAUGAGUGCAUCUCAUUUGUUGGUAUAUCCUUUACGGUAUCUGUAGUUUAAGUGCAAUAAACAUGGCUUGAAGAA